GCCCAGGACGCCGGUCCUCGGCGCGGCGGCCCGGCCGCGGUGGGCCGGGGCUGGGGUCCGAGCCGAGCCC
rnacentral:miRNA from 1 species